AUUGUUUCUUGGCCUUUUGGCUAAGAUUAAGUAUAGUAUAUUCUAUUAGGAAAUUAUUUGGGGUAUUUUUGCAUCUGGAUAACAGAGACAGCUGAUCUAGCAAUUUUGUUAGACCGGCUACACUAA
rnacentral:snRNA from 1 species